rnacentral:rRNA from 1 species
GACGAACGCUGGCGGCGUGCUUAACACAUGCAAGUCGAACGGAAAGGCCCUGCUUUUGUGGGGUGCUCGAGUGGCGAACGGGUGAGUAACACGUGAGUAACCUGCCCUUGACUUUGGGAUAACUUCAGGAAACUGGGGCUAAUACCGGAUAGGAGCUCCUGCUGCAUGGUGGGGGUUGGAAAGUUUCGGCGGUUGGGGAUGGACUCGCGGCUUAUCAGCUUGUUGGUGGGGUAGUGGCUUACCAAGGCUUUGAUGGGUAGCCGGCCUGAGGGGGUGACCGGCCACAUUGGGACUGAGAUACGGCCCAGACUCCUACGGGAGGCAGCAGUGGGGAAUAUUGCACAAUGGGCGGAAGCCUGAGGCAGCAACGCCGCGUGCGGGAUGACGGCCUUCGGGUUGUAAACCGCUUUCGCCUGUGACGAAGCGUGAGUGACGGUAAUGGGUAAAGAAGCACCGGCUAACUACGUG